GGGGUUGUGGCUCAGUGGUAGAGUGCUCACCUAGUAUGUGUGAGACACUGGGUUCCAUCCUCAGCACCACA
rnacentral:tRNA from 1 species